AACGCGAAGAACCUUACCAACCCUUGACAUCCCCGGACCGCACCAGAGAUGGUGUUUCCACUUCGGUGGCCGGGUGACAGGUGCUGCAUGGCUGUCGUCAGCUCGUGUCGUGAGAUGUUCGGUUAAGUCCGGCAACGAGCGCAACCCACGUCCCUAGUUGCCAGCAUUUGGUUGGGCACUCUAUGGAAACUGCCGAUGAUAAGUCGGAGGAAGGUGUGGAUGACGUCAAGUCCUCAUGGCCCUUACGGGUUGGGCUACACACGUGCUACAAUGGUGGUGACAACGGGUUAAUCCCCCAAAGCCAUCUCAGUUCGGAUUGGG
rnacentral:rRNA from 1 species